UGCCUUCAGGAUGGGGACGAACAGACGGAAACGAACUGCUAAUACCGAAUAAGUUCCAAGAGCCGCAUGGCCCAUGGAAGAAAAGGUGGCCUCUACCUGUAAGCUAUCGCCUGAAGAGGGGUUUGCGUCUGAUUAGCUGGUUGGAGGGGUAACGGCCCACCAAGGCGACGAUCAGUAGCCGGUCUGAGAGGAUGAACGGCCACACUGGAACUGAGACACGGUCCAGACUCCUACGGAGGCAGCAUG
rnacentral:rRNA from 1 species